rnacentral:misc_RNA from 1 species
GAUGAAGAACGUAGUGAAAUGCGAUACGUAAUGUGAAUUGCAGAAUUCAGUGAAUCAUCGAGUCUUUGAACGCACAUUGCGCCCUCUGGUAUUCCGGAGGGCAUGCCUGUCCGAGCGUCAUUGCUGCCCUCAAGCACGGCUUGUGUGUUGGGCCCCGCCCCCCGAUCCCGGGGGGCGGGCCCGAAAGGCAGCGGCGGCACCGCGUCCGGUCCUCGAGCGUAUGGGGCUUUGUCACCCGCUCUGUAGGCCCGGCCGGCGCUUGCCGAUCAACCAAACUUUUUUCCAGGUUGACCUCGGAUCAGGUAGGGAUACCCGCUGAACUUAAGCAUAUCAUAAGCGGAGGA